UAUAUAUAUAUAUACACACACACACACAUAUAUAUAAUGGAGUAUUACUCGGCAAACAAAAAGAAUGAAAUCUUGCCAAUCGCAACUACCUGGAUGGCACUAGAGGGUAUAAUGCUACGUGAAAUUAGUCAGAUAAAGACAGAUAUCAUA